rnacentral:rRNA from 1 species
ACAAGCGGAGGAGCAUGUGGUUUAAUUCGAUGAUACGCGAGGAACCUUACCUGGGCUCGAACGUAAGAUGACUGUAGGUGAAAGCUUACAUCUCUUCGGAGCAUUUUACGAGGUGCUGCAUGGUUGUCGUCAGCUCGUGCCGUGAGGUGUCGGGUUAAGUCCCAUAACGAGCGCAACCCCUACCUUUAGUUGCCAUCAGGUAAUGCUGGGGACUCUAAAGGAACUGCCUACGCAAGUAGUGAGGAAGGCGGGGAGUGACGUCAAAUCAGCACGGCCCUUACGUCCAGUGCUACACACGUGCUACAAUGGCCGAUACAGAGGGCAGCUACCUGGUGACAGGAUGCAAAUACUCCAAAGUCGGUCUCAGUUCGGAUCGGAGUCUGCAACCCGACUCCGUGAAGUUGGAUUCGCUAGUAAUCGCGCAUCAGCCAUGGCGCGGUGAAUACGUUCCCGGGCCUU